rnacentral:rRNA from 1 species
UACUUAGUGGCGGACGGGUGAGUAACGCGUGAGCAACCAACCUUCUGCAGUGGGACAACAAUUAGAAAUGAUUGCUAAUACCGCAUAAGACCACAGCAUCGCAUGGUGCAGUGAGAAAAGCUGAGGCGGCAGAAGACGGGCUCGCGUUCGAUUAGCUGGAUGGUCGAGGUAACGGCUCACCAUGGCGACGAUCGAUAGCCGGACUGAGAGGUCGACCGGCCACAUUGGGACUGAGACACGGCCCAGACUCCUACGGGAGGCAGCAGUGGGGAAUAGUUGCACAAUGGGGGAAACCCUGAUGCAGCGACGCCGCGUGAGUGAUGAAGUAUUUCGGUAUGUAAAGCUCUUUUAGCAGGGAAGAAAAUGACAGUACCUGAAGAAACAGCCCCGGCUAACUACGUGCCAGCCGCAGC